UACGUAGGUGACAAGCGUUGUCCGGAUUUACUGGGCGUAAAGAGCGCGCAGGCGGUCGAUCAAGUCGAGUGUGAAAGCCCCCGGCUCAACUGGGGAGGGUCAUUCGAUACUGAUCGACUCGAAGGCAGGAGAGGGUAGUGGAAUUCCCGGUGUAGCGGUGAAAUGCGCAGAUAUCGGGAGGAACACCGGUGGCGAAGGCGGUUCUCUGGGACGGUACUGACGCUGAGACGCGAAAGCGUGGGGAGCGAACAGG
rnacentral:rRNA from 1 species